rnacentral:rRNA from 1 species
UGCAGCAACGCCGCGUGGAGGAUGACGCAUUUCGGUGUGUAAACUCCUUUUAUAAGGGAAGAUAAUGACGGUACCUUAUGAAUAAGCACCGGCUAACUCCGUGCCAGCAGCCGCGGUAAUACGGAGGGUGCAAGCGUUACUCGGAAUCACUGGGCGUAAAGGAUGCGUAGGCUGGAAAUCAAGUCGAGAGUGAAAUCCAACGGCUCAACCGUUGAACUGCUCUCGAAACUGGUUACCUAGAAUAUGGGAGAGGUAGAUGGAAUUGGUGGUGUAGGGGUAAAAUCCGUAGAUAUCACCAGGAAUACCGAUUGCGAAGGCGAUCUACUGGAACAUUAUUGACGCUGAGGCAUGAAAGCGUGGGGAGCAAACAGGAUUAGAUACCCUGGUAGUCCACGCCCUAAACGAUGCACACUAGUUGUUGCGAUGCUAGUCAUUGCAGUAAUGCACUUAACAGAUUAAGUGUGCCGCCUGGGGAGUACGGUCGCAAGAUUAAAACUCAAAGGAAUAGACGGGGACCCGCACAAGCGGUGGAGCAUGUGGUUUAAUUCGAAGAUACACGAAGAACCUUACCUGGCCUUGAUAUCCUAAGAAUCCUUUAGAGAUAAGGGAGUGCUAGUUUACUAGAACUUAGAGACAGGUGCUGCACGGCUGUCGUCAGCUCGUGUCGUGAGAUGUUGGGUUAAGUCCCGCAACGAGCGCAACCCUCGUGAUUAGUUGCUAACAGUUCGGCUGAGCACUCUAAUCAGACUGCCUUCGCAAGGAGGAGGAAGGUGAGGACGACGUCAGUCAUCAUGGCCCUUAUGGCCAGGGCUACACACGUGCUACAAUGGCUAGGACAAAGAGACGCGAUACUGCGAAGUGGAGCAAAUCUUAAAACCUAGUCUCAGUUCGGAUUGGAGUCUGCAACUCGACUCCAUGAAGCUGGAAUCGCUAGUAAUCGUAGAUCAGAUAUGCUACGGUGAAUACGUUCCCGGGUCUUGUACUCACCGCCCGUCAC